AGAGUUUGAUCAUGGCUCAGAUUGAACGCUGGCGGCAGGCCUAACACAUGCAAGUCGAGCGGUAGCACAGAGAAGCUUGCUUCUUGGGUGACGAGCGGCGGACGGGUGAGUAACGCGUGGGAAUCUACCUGGUAGUGGGGGACAACAGUCGGAAACGACUGCUAAUACCGCAUACGCCCUUCGGGGGAAAGUGGGGGUCUUCGGACCUCACGCUAUCAGAUGAGCCCGCGUCGGAUUAGCUUGUUGGUGAGGUAAAGGCUCACCAAGGCGAUGAUCCGUAGCUGGUCUGAGAGGAUGACCAGCCACACUGGGACUGAGACACGGCCCAGACUCCUACGGGAGGCAGCAGUGGGGAAUAUUGGACAAUGGGGGCAACCCUGAUCCAGCCAUGCCGCGUGUGUGAAGAAGGCCUUCGGGUUGUAAAGCACUUUCAGCUGUGAGGAAAGGCAAGUGGUUAAUACCCGCUUGCUGUGACGUUAACAGCAGAAGAAGGACCGGCUAACUCCGUGCCAGCAGCCGCGGUAAUACGGAGGGUCCGAGCGUUAAUCGGAAUUACUGGGCGUAAAGCGCGCGUAGGUGGUUCAGUCAGUCAGAUGUGAAAGCCCCGGGCUCAACCUGGGAACUGCACCUGAUACUGCUGAGCUAGAGUACGGUAGAGGGUCGUGGAAUUUCCGGUGUAGCGGUGAAAUGCGUAGAGAUCGGAAGGAACACCAGUGGCGAAGGCGACUACCUGGACCGAUACUGACACUGAGGUGCGAAAGCGUGGGUAGCAAACAGGAUUAGAUACCCUGGUGGUCCACGCCGUAAACGAUGUCAACUAGCCGUUGGGGGACUUGAUCCUUUAGUGGCGAAGCUAACGCGAUAAGUUGACCGCCUGGGGAGUACGGCCGCAAGGUUAAAACUCAAAUGAAUUGGCGGGGACCCGCACAAGCGGAGGAGCACGUGGUUUAAUUCGAUGGCAAUCGAAGAACCUUACCAGGGUUUGACAUGUAUCGCAUAUUCCCAGAAACGGGAAUAGCCUUCGAGGGUGAUACACAGGUGCUGCAUGGCCGUCGUCAGCUCGUGUCGUGAGAUGUAGGGUUAAGUCCCGAAACGAGCGCAACCCCUAUCUCAUGUUAUAUGUGUCUUGAGAAACUGCCUCGGUAAAACGGGGAGGAAGGUGGGGAUGACGUCUGGUCCGCAUAGCCCUUAUGUCCUGGGCUACACACGCGCUACAAUGGUAGGUACAAUGGGCAGCCAAACCGCAAGGUGGAGCUAAUCCUAAAAAACCUAUCUCAGUUCGGAUUGUGGGCUGAAACUCGCCCACAUGAAGUUGGAUUCGCUAGUAAUCGUGGAUCAGCAUGCCGCGGUGAAUACGUUCUCGGGUCUUGCACACACCCCCGUC
rnacentral:rRNA from 1 species